AACACGCAAAGAACGAAAGAACGAUUGUUUUUGGUAACAGCGAACUAGUAGAGGUGGGUUGUUACAGCAAUUUUCGGUUUCUGUUCCAACCUGAUACUGAUACAGUAAUGUACCUAGUUACAAAUAUCUGUUACUUUUGUAUCAGAGCAGUAGCGGUCCCAGGAAUAGAGGUGGGUUGUUACAGAAAUUUUCGGUAUCUGUUCCAACCUGAUACUGAUACAGUAAUGUACCUAGUUACAAGUUUCCGAUACUUUUGUAUCAGAGCAGUAGCGGUCCCAGGAUGAACUAGUCACCUAGGGAUCUUUCCCGCAUGCGCAGUAAGGACCAAACAUAGUAGGAGAAGAGAAACACGCAAAGAACGAAAGAACUAUUGUUUUUGGUAACAACGAACUAGUCACCUAGUUCGCUCGUCAGAACAGUUCCAAAUGAACUGGUAGUUCGCGAACUACCCAUCCCUAGCGCCUAGUGUAAUUAUGUCUUUAUUAAUUCAGUAGUAUGUGGUACGAGUGCUUUGUCUUGCAUGUUGAAGUGCUUUGGUGCAGGUGUUUAUCUUGAGGCGUCGCCAAGGUCACGUCACGUCUUCGCACACGUCUUUUUUUUUUAUUCUCGUCAGUCUAUGUUGCGUUUCAGUCGCUAGUGUAAUGAGUUAAUCGAGUAAGUUUAUUAUUUAAAUUAUGAGUUUUAGAACGAUCGUUUGUAUCUUGCGUUUAACACAGUAAUAUAACAGAUUUUUCCUAGUGCUUCUCUCGUGACUUAUUGUAUCGGUGUUAUUCCCAACUAUUAUGUGGAUUUUAAUAUUGUUUUUUAAAAGAAUUACAAGGUAUGGUAGAGCCUCUUAUUUUUCUCUCCAGUGCAUAUGUUGAGAGUUGUCAUUUUUUUUAUCUGUCUUGAUACGUCGUUUUGUUUACAGUAAGCCAUUUAUUUAAUAGGGGAACUAUAAUUAUUUAAUAGCUAAUAUUAAGUUAAUGUGUGAUUUUGUCUUCGUUCAAUAUGAAUUUUACUUUCGUUGUUUGAACUCCUGCAGUUUGUUUAUAAAAAAAAAUUCCCAGCCAAGAUGGAGUCUUUCGCAGCACAGUGCUGCCAACUUUGAAUGUAGUACUUUCAUACUGACCCAAUGUUGUGUUUACUUCUGACAUUAGUAGUUCUCGACUCUUAUUUGUCAUUUUCAUUUUUUUUUUGGCUUGACUUUGAUGUCCAGGUUAGGCAUUUUCUUAAAAUAGUGUUUCUUCUUUUUGUGUUUUAGUAAAUCAUGAGUAUAUGUAUUUUUUUUGGAGGGUUUUAUAUUUGUAGUUACCUAGUAUGUUAUUUAGGAGUUAAGGUGUGGAGAGUUAUUUUGUUUUAACACUUUAUUCCUGCUUUCAGUUGAAGGUCCACCAUUCGGGUCCACUGUUAGCGAAUUAGUGACUUUAGGGUCCUUGACUCAGUCGAUCGUGGCCUGAUCACCCACGUGUCCUAGUCUUUGAGUCCCUCGUAACUUUUGUACUCGAGUCAUAAAAAUAAGUAAAUAAAAAAUCAUGGUACUAGUUUUUAAGUUGUUGCAACAUUUAAUUUUUUUUAAUAUUAUUUCUGGGGAACAAGUUUGGUUAUAGGGUUUUCUUAGUUUGCAUUUUUAUGUUCAAGUAAUCAUGUGGUUAUUAGUUGGUAUUUGGGGUAUGUAUUUUCGUACAAGUUAUUUUGUUAUCAUCUUCAUGUUUGGUUUUCAUGAGUUUUUUGUGUCCAUUUCACAUAAUUUAGGGUUUGGUGUAACAACUAGAUUAAUUUCAACACUGUUUUUUUAUUUUGUUUGUAAGAUUGAGGUUAUGUUUGGUAAUUGUCGUUUAAUUUGUCGCAAGUUAUUUGAGAGUUUUAAAAUUUAUAUUCCUUUUAACCUAUAAAAUUGUCGUGGUUAUAAUUCCAUAAUUUGCAUAUUCUUUAUUAAUAUAAUUCUAAAUGAAAUUUCAAUUUUAUAAGAUUGCAGGUUUUGUUCGUGAGAGAACUGUUUAAGCAUUAUUUCUCAUUUUCAUAAUAAUUCCAUGUUUCUGAUUUUUUUUGCAGAUUGCCAUAUGUUGAAAAGUCUGUGGUUUCUUCAGUAAUAUUUAAUUGAGGUGAUGUUUGUUUACUUUUCGUGUAUCAUCAUUUGGGGCACGUUUUUCAUAAUCUAACCAUGAUAGGUAUAUUUUCUUGUUUUGUUGCCAUCGUUUAAUAAGUUCUUUUUUUUGUAGCAGGUGGUUUUAAUAAUUUUAAUGUUGUUUCCUUGCCCAUGUUUUGUUGUAGGUCAUCUUGGGUAUGUGUUUUAUCUAAUUUCUUACAAGAGACAUUUUGCCGUUUUCCUAAUGAGUUCAUUUAAUGUAUGUUCUAGUGCUUUUCAUUGCACGAUUUAAUAAUUGAUGUUAUGAAGUUGUUUUAUAAGUAUUUAAUCUCAGUAUCUUUGAAUCAAGUAUUUGGGUUAAUAUUUUUUUUGUCUUGAGCUGUUUUUGGUCUUUUAAAUUUAUUCCUCUUGAGCCUAUUAAUGGUUAGUCUUCGUUUAAAUGUCAUUAUUUUGCAUUUGUUUUGUUUUACUAAUUUUGUUUCAGUGAGAUGCAGUAAAAGGUUAGUGGUUUUCUUGUUAGAAUUUUGUCGUUUCUCUUUUGAAUCUUUUCUUUAAGCACUAUUAUAAAGUUUUAUAGUUUUGAUACAAUGUAUGUAUACAAUUUUGUACUGUGGGAGUAAGUGACUUCCAGACGAUAUUUGGGUUGUGUUUUUAAAUUGUGUUGUUGACUUUGGUCAAGUUUAGCCAGAGAGCAAACUUUUUAUUUUAGGCAGGUCCUCUGAGCCAGAGCCAGUGAGCCAGUGCCAAGUCCUGUUGAGAAGUGUUUAGGCUUCACCAGCACUUUUCAUUUUUUGCAGGCCUCAGUCAUUUUUUUAUCAAACCAUAUAUCUGCCAUGGAAGAUCCAAUCACUCAUUUUUAAUAAUAGUUUAAAUUUAGAUUAAUAUAUUUUGUGAUUUUAUUUGUUUUUAAAUAAUAAUUAAUAUUUUUUUUUUUGAGUGCUAACUUUGAUUCAUUGCUUUUCUAUUUUGUUUGUCUUGCUAGUGUCAUCUUUUAAAAUAACAUUUGAAUAUAUCCGUUUUGUUUUUUGUCUUGUCAUCCAAAACAUAUACUUUUUAAAAUUUCUGUUUUGUAGGUUAUGUGUGUGUUAGUUCAUGUGGGGAUGUGGUGUGUUGUAUGUCUUGUACAUCUUCCACACGAUACAGCCAUUGCACAUGUGUUCCACACAUUACACCGUGUAGUGUCAUCAAUUUAAUAAUUUUUUUUAAUUUGUGUUAACUUUUUUUAACUUAGAUACUGUUCUUGUUUUUGAUUUGUGUACUAGGGUUGUUGCUGUAUGACAUCUCUCCUGUGGGGUGUCUGCUGCAUGGAUUUUGCUAGGGUGGUUGCGGCUUCGGCUCGGUGUUGCUGCGACUCACCGUUUCAGCCAUCUCUGGUGAAUUUCGUGUAGUGGAGUUCUGCUUGGUGGGAUUGUCGUAUAGUGACACAUUCUUCAUUGUAAGGUAUGGUUUCUACUUUGAUUUCUUCUCAUAACAUUUUGUUCGAUUAACUACAGGCAGUUAUUUUUAUUCACUUCCCUUUUGCUGAAUCUUAAAUUUGUUCAGGUUACAUUUUGUGUUAGUGGUCAAGCUUGCUUUUGCAGGUGCUAAAAUUAUUUUUUGAGUGUCUAAGGUAUGGGACUUAGUCAUUCACCUUUGGACGACCGUUUUCUUAAUUUUAUUUUCAAUUUUGGUGUUGUCGUUUUGAAUAAGCAUUUUAGAAUUUUGUUUUCUUUUUUUUUGUGGCUCAUAUUUCUUUCGUAUUUGAUCAGUAUUGUCAAUGUAAGUAUUGUUAAACUUUGAUUAGGUAUUCUUCUAUUUGAAAAUUUUUUUAAAUUUUAUCAUGAUGUGUUGUUUCAACUGCAGUGUUCAGAAAGGUAUCGUAUGAUCAGGGUCUUAGUGACCAGGAUUUAUGCAGGGGUGUAUAGUCCCCAUUUUUCUUUAUAAGCCGACGGGCAUUUUAUACGAGGUAUCGUCCUCUUUUGUUGUAGUAUGUAGUUGAAAAGUCGACAUAUGUGCAUUUACUUACACGUAAAUAGAAUUUAGAUAAUGCCUGGAAUGCAUGCUUCCAGAAUGCAUUUAUGUUUCACUGAUUAGCUAUUCUAACGUUCGCAGGAGAUUAGCAUAGAAAGGUUGAUGGAAUCCAUGAUAGUAGAGAUCUCUGACCUGUUAGUGAACCAGGCCAAUUCUCAAACAUUAUUACGACAGAAUUUUGACGCUUACCUUGGCCUCGUGUCUCCCACGUGAAUGCGAUGCCGUAGCAAGCAUAGCCACAGAUGACCAUUAAUGAACAUUUUCUCUACACACAAUACCAGUAAGGAGAGACAAGAUUUCAUGGUUUUAUUUUUAGGUCAAUUUCAUUUUAAAACAGGUUUAUUUUUUGUGUUGGUAUUUUUUUUAGUUUUAUACAUCAUCCUCAUUAAUAAAUAUAAGAUAAUUAAUUUUUAAAAAAAUUAUGUUCAAAUUAUUCUUAUUCAAAAUUUUUUACCAAAAAUAGUUAUUUUUAUUGUGACUUAAGAUGCAUUUUUACAAUAAAUGUAUAUUUUUCAUAAGCAUGUUAAGCAAUUAAUUACUCAGGAUAAUAAAACUUAAUCAGUACUCGCUAUUUAUUACAUUUUGGCAAACGAAUUUGAUGUCAGAGUUUGCCCAACUUACAUUAAUACUAUAGGUAAAACCAAAAUAUUGUAAUUUUUACGUAUCCUUGUAUCCAUAGUAUAAAUUUUCGUGUUCAUUAUUUCUGUCGCAGCUUUAAAGCUCAUAGCUUUUACUCAUGGCAUUUCAACUGCGAUGCAUUUGUUUCAUAGUUGUUUCGUCAAUAUAGGUAGUUUUAAUGUAAGGCAUUCAAAAAAGUUCUCUAAUAUUAUUAUAAAUACAGGAAAGUAAAACAUGGAAUAUAAAAAUAAAUUUAUUGGUAGAAAUUUUUUAAAAAAACUGAUUACAUAUAUAUUAAGCAACAUUAUAAGGGCACAUACCACACGUAUUACAUUUAACACUUACUACUAGAAAUUAUUUAAAAAUUUAACCAUGAACUUCAGGAGCCCAAAUGUUAUCCAGAGAACCAUACUAUACCAUAUAAUUUUCAAUGCUGUAUUGGCUAAAUAAAACCUGAAACAAACAGAUUAAUAUUUGCUUAAAUUACUUACGUGGGCUUAUAGAGAAUAUGAAAUACCGUAUUGGUCCGAAUAUAAGGCGACCAUUUUUACAUAAACGAGAGAUGCAAAAAUUGGAAGUCGCCUUAUUUUCGCACCCAAGACGUCAGAACCGCAAACAUUAGUUCCAAGCUGAAAGCUACAGUAGAAACAUUGUUUAACAAAACGUUCACAAUUUUUUAUAUUAACUAAAACUUUGUUACCUCACACGGGGAAAAACCAUAAAUCCACCUAAUAUUGCAGUAAUUGACAAUUGUUUGAAGUUGAAAAUUAAAAUAUUUGUUCUUGAGUAAAAACGUGAAUGUUGAAGCAUCUCAAAAUGGCAACCUUUUAUUUCACAAUUCAUAUUUGUACUUUGUGUACAAUCGCGUGUUAACAUUUACGGUAAUUUUUCUUCAGAUUUUUAACGGAAAUAUUUGUACUAAAACAUCACAGUUAUUUUCAGAACGAUUGUUUACGUUUACAAACAUUUCGGAUGUAAUGUUUGGAAAUUCACGGCUGCCAACUGUCUUUCCACAAUAUUUCUUUGUUGUAAAACGAACAUUGCCGAACACGCACGAAGACGCCAUAUUAAUAGGAAUUUGGUACGUUGCUUCAAAAGCUAUUUUAAUAAUCCACUCUUUAUUUAUGUAAAAACCUUUCAUAAUUAUAAUAGAUUAUUCUUUCAAAUUCAUAGAACAGACUCUCUCUGUCAGAGAGUAAUAUGGACAAAUAUACGCGGUCACGUAACCGAAGUUAUUCUUGGCCGUAUGCUUCAUCAUGUCAGCUAGCCACUUGUUUUGUUCCGGCAAGAUGCAUUCUUUGUUUGCUUUUUUUACGUUUAACACACUACUAAAUAGUAAUACGCCUUGUUCUGUGGUAAUAUGUAGCUUAAGUCAAACGGAAAGUUAAAUGCUGUAUUUUAAGAGGGAUUAAUAGCCAUUGUAAAAAUUUUAAAUUCGUAGAUACAGUAAACUGUGAAAAAUGAACAAUCACACAUUGGUGGAACGGCGGGGAACGAGCCCUAGACAAAUAAACAGCUCUGAAGAUGACAAUUAUGCAGCUUCAUUAGAGUAAACGUACGAAAAGAUUUCUAGUGUAAUACUUAAAAAUGUAAAUAUUUUCUAAUUGUUUUCUUUUGACUUUUAGGGUAGGCCAUUCAAACUUAUUUUAAAUAAGUAAUGUGAUAAAUAUAAAUUAAUUGUUAUACAUAAAUGCAAAAACAAUUUAUCAACACAAAAUGUAUGUCUAAUGAAUUUUCACAUUAAUUUAUACCAAAAAUUAUUUUUACAUUUGUUUGGCCUCCUGAAACUGCAGGUCGCCUUAUAUUCGGGGUCGCCUUAUAUUCGGGCCAAUACGGUACAUGAUUUGCAUGCAGCGAUUUAGUGAAAGUCCUUCUACUGCACAAACAGGUAAACACUUCCUCAGAGUUCACAGAAACAUCCUUUACUGGCAAAUAAUCAUGAUGCCCGCAAAAAUAUUUCCCCGCUGAAUAUACAAACAACGCAACAAGGCAGAUGCCAGCCAUGGAGAAUAGCUAGCCAGACUCUUCAGUAGCAAAGUCAGUCGUGUAAAUAACAAGAGUCAUCCCGGUUAGCCUACGUCAUACAGUUAUGCACAAGAAGACUUAACAUAAUCUUACCACACUGUGUGUGUGUGUGUGUGUGAGAGAGAGAGAGAGAGAGAGAAAGAGAGCGUGAGAGAGAGAGAAAUAAAAAUAACAACUAUCAAAUACUGAAGGUUAAAAUAAUUUAAUUUAACUCUCAGUAUUUUUACUGAAAAACUUUAAGCUAUCAGAAGACGUAUUAAAAGUUUGUUUGUUUUAAGUACUAUCGAAAGUACUUAAUUAUUAUGAUCAAAACCAGAAAAAUAUUUAAGUCUGAAACAAAAUGUUUUUAUUAGCCUUAGUAUUUGAUAUUAUGAUUAAAAAUAAUUUUGGAGUGCUAAUGAAUAGUAAAAACAUUAUCACAAUUAUUAAAAAAAAAUAUUUAUAUAGUAAUUUCAUAGCAUACAGGAAAAUAAAUGAAAAAUUCCGCCAAAAGAAUAAAUUUGCGUUUAAACUACUUCGAUAAAUUCCACACGUGGACGGUCGUUUAUUAAUGUGAGGGUUGCGGAUUUGAUUCCAAUACCCUGGUAUGACAUAAAAUUAUGAGCAUUGGGUUAUUGGCAGCCGAAGGUUUCGAAGCCCACAUGAGUCUUGUAGGUCCGUAAAUACCGCGUGACGUUAACUAAGAUAAAAAUAGAGCGAGUUUUUCAGAAGUCGCCAGUGAUGUGUAACAUCUAACAUACCUUAUCACAAACUCUGUAUUUACACUAUUUUAAUACAAAACAUAAAAUUAUGAAUUUGUAUUAUAUAUUAUACAUUAUUAUUUCACAACGUCUCUAUAGGUUAUUAGAAAAUCCACAUGGCAAUACCUCGCGCUAUUCAAGACUACUGUUAGCGGAACGAACGUAAAACAGCUGUCUCUUCUGUCUCUCUCUCUCUCUCUCUUUUCAAAUGCCGUGGAAAUUUCUGCGCUCGCUGACUCGCUGCAGCACGAGCGCCAACUGUGGGCCUCGCCGAAAAAUUAAAUGGUGACCACUUCUCCUUACUUCCUGCAACACAAUUAAGCUACGGCCAUACAGAGAGCUAUGCUCGCUAUAUUCGCGAUGUUCGCGAUCCUGGUGACGUCACCGGGUGUUUAGUUCUCGCCAUUUUUUCUAAACGUCGAUGAUUUGCACCUGCGCAAAUAAGCAAAAAAUCUGUUUCCACACGUAAUUUUGCUGACUUCUGUGUUUGCUUUUUAUGAAGUUUAAUUUAUCUCAGUGUUGUGCUUUAAAUAGUGAUGUCGUGUCAACGGCUAAGUUCAGUGAAGUAUUACGAAUGAAUAAAUCUAUGGAAGAAUAUAUAAGGCAGAAUAUGCAGGACAAUGUCUGGGAUUUGGUUUCAAGAUUUUCAUGGCACCAUUUAUUUUUUACGUUACAAUACUGUGAGCCAGCGGAAUAUUAUCAUCGUCGGAAUCAUCACUCUAGUCCCACGGCAUGCGUCUCUCCGACAUCGUCAGCUAGACUAUCCUCUCUGGCCACCUGGCGCAGCGAACAUAGCGAACAUCGUGAACAUAGCGUAGGUUCUGUGUGGCCUCGGCUUUACGUCGCACUCGCGAAAUCACUCCCACCAAAUGCCGUACACUGAGAGCUAGGAUGUUACACAUAAUAAAACACACUACUAUGAGCCGAAAAUCAGUAAUUUAAUGGCUCAAUUUUUCCAUUUUUAUUUAUUAAAAUAUUUUUGCUUUCCCAUAAGCUAGAGUACCUCAUCAAAAUUUAUUUUCUCAUCUAUACCACCCAGGGCUAUACAUAUUAAAACUUUAUUAGUGGGUUUUAGAGAGUCUCAACGUCUCAGCAGAGACAUGCAGACGCUUACACGCAGCGUAGGCUAGCCGAGUCAAUUUUAUCUCGCCGGCAUGCAGGAACAGACAUGAUAACUCUCCCUGCCUGACGUGCCUUCCACCUUGUUUCUCACGCAGGGGUACCUGCCUCGUCAGGCGAGCCUAGCUCGCUUUCCUAGGCUCGAGGCCCUGGCGAGCAAAGCGGAUGUGCUGGUCUCGGCAUAAAACAAGCACUUCCCCGCCACCCCUGGCCCUCUUAGGUUUUCUGCUAUGCUUCCAGGAACCAUGACCGAGGCAAGACCAUGCCCCUUCCCUCGUCAACCCCUCCUCUCCUUUAGGAACAAGCCACGCCUAUGCUUGUGCUCCACGCACGAGGCUUGUGCGCGAUCUCUCGAGCACAACCGAAACUAAGCAUGCUAAUGUCUGUUUCUCCCGCCAGGGAACACCACCUUCCAAUCCCCCUUUGCCUUAGACGGCAUACAGCAACGCCACCGCUUGGUGCGCUAUCUCAUGGCGCCUGUCCCAACUAAAGAUGGCGCUCAUAGAGAGUUUUAUAUUUUUCUUGUGGCACAAGCCCUGACCAAUCCCAAGGUACUUUUCCUCCCAUGGCCCGCUUAGCUCCGCCCACUCUGUUUCUCUCUUCCCCCCCUCCCCCUUUUCGGUUUUGAGCCCAUGCAGGAACUAAGGGACUCUCUCAAGUAGAGAGAGUCGACAAUCUACUGUGGUACAGGGAGCAUCCUACAUCUGCCGCGCUACUUCUAUCGCGACCGCGUCUCUCCUACUAAGAAGUCGGACAUCAAAGAAUAUAGGAUGUAGUCGCGACGACCAGGGGAAAAUCCCCUUACAACUUUAAGUUUAAACAUCAUAUUAGUGUUAGUGUUUUUUCUGGCGAAUUAAGUGCGUGCAACCGCGCUAGUGGACGUCUACCAUCAUGGAUAGAUAGUACCACCGACCUACCCCACAAUUUGGUGAGUAGAGAUUUUAGUACCCUUUUGAUUUCCUGUUUUCUUGAGCCCUUUGUGGCCGAGAACUUUCCCACUGGCCAUAACCACUUAAUAACGCUGUGCGAACUUUUGUUUUCACAGUGGGGUUUUCCAUCCCCAGUGAUGGGUAGACAACCACAUCUACCCGCACUGAGUUCCUGAUUUCGGCCAUCUAAAUUCCAUGCAUCGUGCUGUCAACUUUAGUCCGCUAUCCGCCCCGUCACGCCGUUCGGAUGUCAGCACUUCGCAUGCAGCUAAGUCUAUGUUUGGAAGACACAAUGUAAGAAAUCUUAAAGUUUUAAAUUCUCUACGAACAAUUUGCGAACUAUUCAACUACCAAUUAAAGAAAAAGGUAUAAAAUAUAGUAAUCAAAGGUACUUGUCAAUCCAAAUAAUGAAAAAUUGUUUAUUUUUGAUUUUAUUACUCUGAAACCUUGUUUGUGCAACUUGCUUUAAAAUAAAUGUAAUCUGUAAAGUAAUUAUCAAAGUAUCCGCGGCCGGCCUGCGCGUGUUAAAAUUCAAUUCUAUUAUAAUUUAAUGUACUAAACUUUGAGUUUACUGAACCUGUGGAUUUUGUUAAAAAUAUAUAUUGUCACUAGUUUGUAAGUCAUUAAAGUGGUGACCAAAAGUAUUAACUACCAUACCUAUUAUGAAAAAUCUGGCUUGUUCAAAAUAAAAUAAGUUAACCAUUAAAAUAAGCUAGAAGUAACCAGAUUUAAUUGUUUUAUUUAUAUUUUUAUAGAUUACGAUCCACCUUAACACCCACCAACCUUUUGGAGUGUUAACACCUAAAUUCUUUGUAUUGUACCUGUGUUCCGCCUCUGUUCACUGUUAAUAUGUCUUCUUGACGUCACAGGUCAAUUACAAAUGGUAGCAGAGCAUGGUUUCUUACAAAAUGGUAGCAUAAUUGGUUUGUUGUCUUUUGGUUGUCACUACCUUUUUAAUAUAGGUAUAACUUAUAAAACUUCUUUAUGUUAUAAGAUUUUUUUGUGAACUGCAUGCGAGCGUUUUGUCGUAAUUUCGCGCCGCGUAUCUUUUCUUUCAAGUGAGUCCAUUACCCCUACACUAAAUUAUAAAUUUUCUUCAUUGAUUCUGGCUAUGCAUCUUCUUGCAGGAAUUCUUGUAUGUUUUUCUCCCGUUAUCAUUUCCAGCCAGCUGUGUCGUAAAUGAUACAUUUGUUUACGUUUUGCCUCUUACCUUAGGCCCGCAACCAUUUUGACAAGGCUGCCAACUUUGCACACCUAAAUGUUACGCCGUCUAACGCCACGUCUUUUGCCGUGCGUGAUGCCAGCACGCCAUUAUCUUUGGGCGUUGGCAGCCCUGGGCCAGCUAUCCGCCGCCACCCCUACCCCCUCCUGCGCAUGUCCUGGCGCGCAGUCGUCAGAGCGACGGAAGUGACGCGUCUUAUCACCAGACGUAAACAGACCACCCCUUCCCCCCUCCUGUUGGUGGUCGGCGACCUGCGACACCCACGUGGUCUACGACGUUAGUCCUUGUUGAUAAACUCCUGUCAGCUGCUAGCUGUAGCCAACACACAAGCCCUGUGUCAGGGCAAUUUACCAUGUUUCCUUCACUAAUAUUAACCUUAUAAUGUGAGAAAUAAUGAAUACAUUAUAAAAUUUUCAUUGUUGAAAAUUUGUAACUUCAAAUAAUUUUAGUAAAAAUAAUUAUAAAAUAAAUAAAACAAAAAAACUCCCCUAAUUUUUUAUUUAUGUGCAAGGGCAUUUACUUUAAGCAUAUAAGAUUAAAAACAGGUGUUUUAUACUUCAUAUAUUAAAUUUUAUAGAUUUUAAGUAUACACUAAACAUUAAUGCAUAAAUGUAGAGCAUAAUAUUAAAAUACAGUGUCUCAUAAAAUAAUAUAUAAAUAAAAACAUAUUUAAUAUUUUACGCAUAAUUUUUUUUAAUCUUUAACUACAUGGAAUUUAAGUGUAUGCUAAACAGUAUUGUUAUAAAAGAUAAUAAUAAAAUUAAGAAUUCUUUUGAAAUUCAGUUGAAUACGUAAAUAACAAUUAAUUUCUCGCCCUAUGUUUAUAGAUUAGUAUAUUUCCUCUUAAAUACAUAAUAUUCAGAGGGAAUGUUUUGUAAAUUAUAUCCAAAAAAAGAUCACUUAACAUUUAAAGAGGUAUCUGUAUUUUUUACUGAGAACUUAAUUGAGACUAAAGGGACUCUACACAUUACUUCAAUAGAUGCAACAUAAAAUAAUAUUAAUAAUACAGUAUUAUUCCCAUCAUAUUUAGUUGUUUACAAUGGUACAAAGAUACCUGUGAUUUAAUUAUGUUACUAUACAAUUUUAUAAUAAGCACCUAUCUAUGUGUCUAGCUUUGUUUUGAUAAUUUUUGAGAGAGCUGUAAGUGGCGUAAUCACACUUGCCUUUCAUGAAAAGGUUCUUAAAUAAAUUUAUGUAUGUGUAGGUCAUGAUUUCAAUACAUUCCCUAGGCUAGCAAAAUCUUGGUGACUCUCAAAAUAUUUUAUGAAAUUUUUUAUUCACAUCGAAACGUCUAUCUGCCAUUAAGCAACAAAUUUAAUUUUCUCAUAUGGAUUAUAAAACAUAAAUUUUUUUUAGUAAUCUUUUACUUUAUUGACUUUGUUCAUGUCACUAAUGUUGACACAGUUUUGAUCGUCAUUUUCUUUCUCUCUCGUAUGUGUUUAAGGUAGCUCAGCGAGGCCUCUCUGAUAGCAAAGUUUAUUUUAACCUAAUUUUCAAUUUAUUAUUUGACUGUCUAUAUUUAUUUUGAUAACAUACGAUAACAUUCAAUGUGUAAAAUUAUUAUGUAAAUUUUAAUUGCGGUAUUGCCAAGUCAAUAAAUUACAAAGUAAACAAGUAGUAUUUUUUUUAGGAAUUGAAUGUUUCCUGUUUAUGCAUUUAGCAGUGAAUUUUAAGUUAAAAUUCUGGCAAUUUAUAUUGAUUUUUCAUUUUUAAAUUUAGAUUAAAAAACAUUAAAAAAAAAAUUAAAUGUUGAUGUACAGCUAUGUACACAAAAUCUGAGCACUAUAGCUGGUACAUCUAGGUACAUAAAAACAGAGUUUAUAAUUUUCUUUCGCACUCGCCCCAAAGUUCGUAAUUUGUUUUUCAUAAUUAACAUGACCUUGUUUAUAUAGUUAAGAGCCUUGUGACUUCCAGACGGCAUACUGGUUUUUAUUUUUGUGUGUUCUAAAGUAGAACUUAGGUCACGCUAGCCACAGUGCAGCACUAAAUUGGUCACUGAGCCAAAACGCGCCAGGAUCCGGGUCCUCUGAGUGAAAUAUCUCAUGACCACUCGAGUGUUCUUUGGGUUCCAGUCCCACCACUCACAUUUGGACGAUCUCUGUUCAAAUCCCUUUUCAGGCAGUGUAAAACCUAAAUGCCUGCCAUGGAAGCUCCGAUAGCUCUAUUAAGUAAAGUCAACCCUUUAGAUUUAUAAUGUGGUUUAUUUUAGGUUUAUAAUUUUAUAUAACUAUUUAAAUUUGAGUGCUAAGGGUAAUUGACUGACGGUUUGUUUUUCAGAAACAUUUAAGUAGUAAAUAUUAAACUAACUAUUUUCUAAUUAUCAGAGUCGUUUUAGCGGAAACUCCUACACCUUUUUACAGAAAUAUUUUUUUCCUAAAUUUAUCAUUCUAGAAAUUGUGGUUGUUCUCUUGGGUUUCAAACCCAAUCUAGCUUUCGGGAAUUUCCCGCUUAGGCAUCACUGUUCCAGCCCGUUGGACUGAUCACCCUUCAGAGUAUGGACAAUAGGAUCCUAUGUUAAGCUAAUAAGUGCCAUUCUGGGACCGAGGUUUCACUUCGCUUUUGAGCAAGCGUCAAAUUUAUUCCGUCCUAUCCAUAGCCUGAUUGAGCGGGCAAAGUCCCAAUGCCUUCGGCUUCUUGUGGAAAGACGUUUUGUACAGGGGUUAUAUUCCCAUUUAGUUUGUAAGUUACAGAGCUAUCAUGCUCAUAUACGGGUUACCAUACCCAUUUAGAGGGGUUACAAUCCCCGUUCGUCACUGAGUGCUCAAGGAGGCUUAUCCCUUGUUUCGGCCUCAGUGUUUUUCGGCCUUCCUCAUAGUGCCCAUUUUGAGAAUGUACACCAUGUCCAACAUCUGAGAUCAACUUUUUUAGAGUUCCUCAUUCACCAUAGAGUUUUUUUUUAACAAUCUAUAAUACAGAUAUCUCAAUUCUAACCUUUAAUAUUACCGUACAUUAAAGUUUAUGCAAAUUUAAUCAGGGUAUUUACCUCAGGAGUCUGACCUAUUUUCUACCCUGGGCUCCGCCAUCAAGCGGGGGAGUAUGAGCCGAAAAUCAGUAAUUUAAUGGCUCAAUUUUUCCAUUUUUAUUUAUUAAAAUAUUUUUGCUUUCCCAUAAGCUAGAGUACCUCAUCAAAAUUUAUUUUCUCAUCUAUACCACCCAGGGCUAUACAUAUUAAAACUUUAUUAGUGGGUUUUAGAGAGUCUCAACGUCUCAGCAGAGACAUGCAGACGCUUACACGCAGCGUAGGCUAGCCGAGUCAAUUUUAUCUCGCCGGCAUGCAGGAACAGACAUGAUAACUCUCCCUGCCUGACGUGCCUUCCGCCUUGUUUCUCACGCAGGGGUACCUGCCUCGUCAGGCGAGCCUAGCUCGCUUUCCUAGGCUCGAGGCCCUGGCGAGCAAAGCGGAUGUGCUGGUCUCGGCAUAAAACAAGCACUUCCCCGCCACCCCUGGCCCUCUUAGGUUUUCUGCUAUGCUUCCAGGAACCAUGACCGAGGCAAGACCAUGCCCCUUCCCUCGUCAACCCCUCCUCUCCUUUAGGAACAAGCCACGCCUAUGCUUGCGCUCCACGCACGAGGCUUGUGCGCGAUCUCUCGAGCACAACCGAAACUAAGCAUGCUAAUGUCUGUUUCUCCCGCCAGGGAACACCACCUUCCAAUCCCCCUUUGCCUUAGACGGCAUACAGCAACGCCACCGCUCGGUGCGCUAUCUCAUGGCGCCUGCCCCAACUAAAGAUGGCGCUCAUAGAGAGUUUUAUAUUUUUCUUGUGGCACAAGCCCUGACCAAUCCCAAGGUACUUUUCCUCCCAUGGCCCGCUUAGCUCCGCCCACUCUGUUUCUCUCUUCCCCCCCUCCCCCUUUUCGGUUUUGAGCCCAUGCAGGAACUAAGGGACUCUCUCAAGUAGAGAGAGUCGACAAUCUACUGUGGUACAGGGAGCAUCCUACAUCUGCCGCGCUACUUCUAUCGCGACCGCGUCUCUCCUACUAAGAAGUCGGACAUCAAAGAAUAUAGGAUGUAGUCGCGACGACCAGGGGAAAAUCCCCUUACAACUUUAAGUUUAAACAUCAUAUUAGUGUUAGUGUUUUUUCUGGCGAAUUAAGUGCGUGCAACCGCGCUAGUGGACGUCUACCAUCAUGGAUAGAUAGUACCACCGACCUACCCCACAAUUUGGUGAGUAGAGAUUUUAGUACCCUUUUGAUUUCCUGUUUUCUUGAGCCCUUUGUGGCCGAGAACUUUCCCACUGGCCAUAACCACUUAAUAACGCUGUGCGAACUUUUGUUUUCACAGUGGGGUUUUCCAUCCUCAGUGAUGGGUAGACAACCACAUCUACCCGCACUGAGUUCCUGAUUUCGGCCAUCUAAAUUCCAUGCAUCGUGCUGUCAACUUUAGUCCGCUAUCCGCCCCGUCACGCCGUUCGGAUGUCAGCACUUCGCAUGCAGCUAAGUCUAUGUUUGGAAGACACAAUGUAAGAAAUCUUAAAGUUUUAAAUUCUCUACGAACAAUUUGCGAACUAUUCAACUACCAAUUAAAGAAAAAGGUAUAAAAUAUAGUAAUCAAAGGUACUUGUCAAUCCAAAUAAUGAAAAAUUGUUUAUUUUUGAUUUUAUUACUCUGAAACCUUGUUUGUGCAACUUGCUUUAAAAUAAAUGUAAUCUGUAAAGUAAUUAUCAAAGUAUCCGCGGCCGGCCUGCGUGUGUUAAAAUUCAAUUCUAUUAUAAUUUAAUGUACUAAACUUUGAGUUUACUGAACCUGUGGAUUUUGAUAAAAAUAUAUAUUGUCACUAGUUUGUAAGUCAUUAAAGUGGUGACCAAAAGUAUUAACUACCAUACCUAUUAUGAAAAAUCUGGCUUGUUCAAAAUAAAAUAAGUUAACCAUUAAAAUAAGCUAGAAGUAACCAGA